AAAAGGAUUUGCAAAUCAUUGUAUUCUGUUUAUAUUUACAUCUAACACAAUUUCCCAACUCAUAUGGAAACGGGGUUUGUACUUAAUUUAAUAAUUAUUUACAUUUAUGAAAGAGUAAUUCUGUUUGUAAUUGAAUUUUUAGUCAAGUAACGACUAUUAUUAUUCCUUUUUAAAACAGAUAUUCCAAACAUUGUUAAUUGAUAAACUGUUUUAUCAGGAUAUGGUGUAUUUACUCUUGCAUCAAUUUAAAAAGGUUCUUUUGUGGUCGAGUACCGAGGGAAGUUCAUCUCAAGACAUGAGCGGGACAAGAGACAGAAACCCUCUAUAAAUAUCUUUACUAUUUAUCUGGCAUUAUAUGCUCAUAAUGUUAACAACAAAAAGUGCUGAUAAUGUUAUAAUUAAUAAGUUCUAACAUUAUUUUUAUGUGUUUUGUUGCAGACACCAACUGUUGAUGUUCUAUCUCAACAUUCUCCAGACUCAUGUGAGCGAUAAACCGACUUCAUCCCUCCAACAGACACCAACUGUUGGGGUUCUAUCUCAACAUUCUCCAGAUUCAGAUGUGAGCGAUAAACCGACUUCAUCCCUCCAACAGAAACCAACUGUUGAGGUUCCAUCUCAACAUUCUCCAGAUUCAGAUGUGAGCCAUUAACUGACUUCAUCCCUCCAACAGGUUAUUACAUGUCUAUUUUUACUAUAUCUGCUCUAAAUUUGACCCAACCUAUAUUUUGAAAGACAUUUAUUUAUUUUAAUCUCUCACAGAUCAGUUUAUAUGACAACUUUUUCGCAAGGGUACAUCCAUGUUAGUCAGUAGAAAGUUUAGAACUCAUGUUUAGCAAAACAGGAGAUGUUACAAGUCAACAACAUAAAUUCUACA